rnacentral:rRNA from 1 species
AUGCAAGUAGAUUUGGAGGCACUCGAACAUGAUCCUGGAAAGCGGAUUCCCAUCUCAGUGUAUGUUGUCAAUGACCAAGAUAGAGUAAGAAGGGGAUAUAUUGAGAUGGAGUCAUGUCAACCAAAGAAUCAUAAGUUCAAGUUUAGAAAUAAAAGUGGAAAAGAGCGUCGCUUUUGCUGUGUUUGGUUUAAAGAAUUUCCGUGGAUUGAGUAUAGUGUGCAUAGAGCUUCCUGCUUCGUUUGCUAUUUGUUCAAGGAUAAAACAAGAUGUCCUGGUGGAGAUGAUUUUGUGAAGAAGGGAUUUAAUAACUGGAACAUGAAGUCGAGAUUGAAGAAACAUGAAGGUGGGGUUAGUAGUGCUCAUGCUGAAGCUCAAGAGAAGUAUGAUAAGUUCACUACACCACAAACAUGAAUUCUGGAGUCUAUUGCUUCAAACACCUCACAAUACAAGCUUUAUAAACAACGUUUGACAUGGACACUCAAGUGUGUGAGAUUUCUGUUGUGCCAAGGCUUGACAUUUAGAGGACAUGAUGAAAGUGGAGACUCACUAAAUAAACGAAAUUUCCUUGAGCUUCUAAAUUCGCUAGCAGGAAAUUUUGAAGAGGUUGACAGGGUUGUUCUCAAGAAUGAUCCACGGAAUUGCAGAAUGACUCACCAUGAUAUACAACAAGAGGUGAUAAAAUGUUGUGCACAAGAGACUACUAAACUAGCCAUUGAAGAACUUGAUGGUGGUCAUUUUGCAAUACUUGCAGAUGAGUCUAGUGAUGUGUAUUAGAAUGAACAGUUGGUUGUUUGCUUGCGUUAUGUUGAUAAGAAAGGAAGGGCGGUUGUAAGAUUUCUUGGUCUUGCUCAUGUUGAAGAUACUACCUCUUUGACACUAAAAGCUGCAAUUCAGAAAAUGCUUAUGGAAUACAAUUUGACCUUUGCAAUGUAUGUUCAUUAUUUUGCCCGUGAACUACAGUUAACUCUUGUUGUUGUUGCUAAGGAGAGUGGUGAUUGUACUUGGUUCUUUCAGCAGCUUGCACACUUUUUAAUUGCUCUUGACAUGUCUUGUAAAAAUAUGAGAAUGCUUCGGAUAGCUCAGGCUGAAGAACUCAUUGAUGCGUUGGAAUUGGAAAAAGUGGAAACAAGGAGUCUGAAUCAGGAAAUGGGUUUGGGAAGGCCAUGUGAUACAUGUUGGGGCUCUCACUUCAAAACUAUGAACCAUGUCAUCUCUAUGUAUGGUGCACUACGACGGGUCCUUCGCAAGAUUGGAGACGAGUACCAUGGUGCGGAGGCACAAGCAGCUCUAUCCAUAGAGACAAUAUUUCGAUCAUUUGAGUUUGUUUUCAUGGCACACUUGAUGCAAGAAAUAUUUGGAUACAUAGAUGAGUUGUGUAGAGCUUUGCAAAAGCAACACGAAGAUAUUGUUCAUGCUAUUAAGCUUGUUGGUGACACAAAGUAUUACUUGGAGGCUUUGAGGACCGAUGUUGGAUGUGAUGAUUUUCUCACAAAGGUCACAUCUUUUUGUACAAAGCAUAACAUCAAAGUUGUUGAUAUGAAGGGUCCUUACUUCCCCGUUGGCCGACCUAGAAGGGGUUUAUGUAAUGGUGCGACCAAUUACCACCGCUUCAAGGUUGAUAUGUUUGUGGGUGUCAUUGAUAGGCAAAUCAGUGAGUUGAAUGGCAGAUUUGAUGAGGUAAACACAUAGCUACUUUCUUGCAUGGCAGCAUUCUGUCCACUUCAUCUAUUUGCUGCUUAUGAAGAAGAGAAGUUGGUUAGGCUUGCUACAAAGUUUUAUGCUUUUGAUUUUAUAAGGGAUGAACUGGCAAGACUUCCAUGGCAACUAAACAUGUAUGCUACUAAUUUGAUUCUACCAGUAGUUUUUGCUGGUGUUGAACGAGUAUUCUCUUCAAUGAGCUAUGUGAAGAAUAAGCUAAGGAACAAAAUGGGUGAUGAAUAUUUGAACAUUUGUUUGGUUACAUUCGUUGAGAGAUAAUUAUUCAAUCAAGUGAAGGAUGAAGAUGUCAUCAAUCUGUUCCAAAAAGGUAACCGCAGAGUUAAAUUGUAA